CAGUCGCCGCGGUAAGACAGAGGUCCCGAGCGUUGUUCGGAUUCAUUGGGCGUAAAGGGUGUGUAGGAGGUUGGGUAAGUCAGGUGUGAAAUCUCACGGCUUAACUGUGAAACUGCGCUUGAUACUGCUCAGCUAGAGGAUCGGAGGGGGUAACGGAAUUUAUGGUGUAGCAGUGAAAUGCGUAGAUAUCAUAAGGAACACCGGUGGCGAAGGCGGUUACCUGGAAGAUUCCUGACUCUGAAACACGAAAGCCAGGGGAGCAAACGGGAUUAGAUACCCCAGUAGUCCCUGUCUCUUAUAC
rnacentral:rRNA from 1 species